AAGUUUGCAUCUUGAUUUCAGUUAAACAUUUGGCACUGCAUCCCACCAAAUUUCAUGCACAAAAUUAAUUCAAAUUGUCUUGGAUGGAAGCGUGGUCACAUGGGUUGAAAAUUGGCUGGCGCUCGGUGAACAGCAGGGAGAGAAAGGUGGCUCCCUGUGGCUGGCCUGGUGGUAAGGCCUCAUUUUAAUUUCUGUCAGAAACUGGGACUCCUCAUUCUCCAGCUUCUCCCUCCAUAAUAUUAUAACAAUAACAACAACAUUAACUGAUCACAUACACUGUUCCAGAUUCCAGACACUCUAUCUUACUGAGACCCUUUGUUCUUUUUGCCCUUACGUUUCUUUCUUCACUCUCCAUCUUCCUUCCCAAGCAGCUAGUCAGCUGUGUUGAUCGCCUCAGGAGUCAAAUGUGACUAGAAUGUAGAGGAUGCGUGGCAAAGAGAAAAUGUUCACGAGAAGCGAGAAGAGAGGGGAGCUUCCACCCUCUGACUAGAAACAAGUUCCCCUGAGAGACACUCGUGAGCAAAGGACAAGGUGGGGCUGAGGGUGUGGGGCUCUGCCUCCCAUUUCCUAACCAGAAUUGCUGCCUGUGUCUCCCACCGCCCACUGCGCCUGAGAGGGGAGUCUCCCGGGGACGGUCACAGAGGCUGCCACCACCAGUGGGCUCAGAAGCAGAGAACGGCAAGGUCCGGCUGGACCAUCUGGCCAAGAACAUUGACCUCUCAGCAGUGACCUUCGGGGACUGAGGACGUCCCAGCUUCAUCAGUGGAUGGGGGCCGUUGCCAGGAAAGGAACUCAUCCAUCCUUGGAGUGUCCCAGUGACGGCCCAGGAGCAGAGAGCUCCGUGCUGGAAAAGAAGAGCUGAGUGAAAAUUCUUCGUCGCUGUUGCUUGAGGUUUACUUGAAGACUUUAAUUUUUCAUGCUAUCAGAACUGGCUAUUUCUUAUUAAAUGGGUACCGACAGUAAUCACCAUUCCUUGUAUCUUUAGAGACAUAUUUUCCAAGAAAUAAGAUGCUUGAGUUGCUUCAACCUUGCCAAGGGACAACGCGAUCCCGCUUCAUCACGGAGUGGAAGUCACAGAAGAAGCCUUUGAAGGCAACCCAGCUGCCCCGUUCCGCUGGCGUGUGUGUGACCCUCCGUGCUUCAUGAACGCUUCUGGAUUUCAGUAAAACGCCUGCCAGUGUUUGGAAAAGAAAUACAUUAUUUAAAAGCCUGUGGCCAAUCUUGCCUACUGGGAUAUUAGGGAACGAACUUAGAGUUACACAUCGAGGUAGGAGAGAAUGAAGAAGGUGGAUGUGGGGAUCACUGAAGAGGCAGACAAGACGGGGCUCACGUUGGCAACUGAGUGGAGCCCCAAUAUUCCCUGAAGGGAGUGGACUCUAGAUUCUCUAGACCCUCUACGUGAGGUUCUGCCUCUACUCGAUGGUCCUGCAUAGAGAUGGAACACAUUUGGAGCUCUCGCUUGUAUGCGGUGACUUUGUUCCUGUUCCCCAGAAGGUGUGUGGCAUUUGGAAGUCACUCUCCCUCUCUGUGGUUCUUUGGAAGACUAACACAGCUUGCGAUCUAGACACCAAAGACUGAAAUCUCCAGAGAGCUAUCUUAAUAUACGCCCUCCCCUUCCAUCAAGUUCUUCCCAUGCACAGUAAUUCCUAGUUAAGGUCAGACAGGUGGACAUUUAUAAUAUGUCUGAACACCAAUAAGGAAGGAUUUUUCUGGGUGAUGUGGUUUGGAAGCAAACAUGACUACAAAAUGUCCCCAGGCACAUCUUUCUUUAUUCAUUUGCACGCGAAACAACUUCACUCUAAGUGCACGUAGGUAGACAUAAAGAUUUACUCAUUACCAAUCUGAAUUUAUUGUAAUCAUAUUCCCAAUACUAUUCUUUUUCCCUAAGUGUUUUUUGUUUUCAAGAUUGUACUUCAACCCCAAAGGACAUACUUUUGAGAAAAUACUCCAUUAAAGACAUUGUUGGAGCAACUUUGAUUAUUCAUUAGUGUGUUUUAAAGUGGACCUAAAUAGAAAUGCUUUUCGCUAAAGUAAAAAUACAUCCGUUCCUAUGAUUUAAUUGUACAAUUGGUUAGAAUUUCUAUCUAUCAGUUCAAAGGGAAACUUGGUUUCAAUGAAUUUGUUUUUAAUAAAAAUGUGUUAUCUAUGAUAAAUAUAUUUCACUUUGUUCAAAUGGAUUUGAUUGGGAAAACAUUGAGCAGAAGUACUGGUAGAGCUUAAUUUCAUUGCUUUGAGAAAACGUAUUGAAUGCUGGUUUGAAUUAAAUUCUAUUUGUUUUAAUAAAAGUGUAUUGGCCUGA